GCCACCCGCCCACUGCCUGUGCUUGACUCCGACUCGCCUGCGUUGGAUUUCUAGUGGAGUGGAGGUGAUCUGAGAAUGUUUCUUACAAAGCAAUGAAUUUGGAAAGACAGAAAGGCAUGGAAGAAGGAAGGAAGAAAGGAAGGAAGGAAAGAAAAAAGGAAGGGAGGGAGAAAGAAGAGCUCUACACCCAGCUUCCUUUACAAAAGCGAUUGGGAGACAGAGCAAGGCAGGUUUUACCGUGAGGUUUGAGGCCAAGGAAAGAGGGUUAGAGGAAGGAGGAGUUCUUCUGUGGCCCUUGGGUGGAGGUAGUUGCCGGGAGCAGGGUCACCUCUCUGGUAAAGGAGGUGAACAGAGUGACCACUUGCUUGUAAUUUUAAUUGCAGAUAAGUUUUUGGAUGUGCUUCCAGCAUUUUGUCCGUUGGCAGUAAAUCAGUUGUUGAAGGGAAUUGCUCAUCAACAUCCAUCACCUAGAACGCUGGCCAAAUACUGGGAGCCCUCCCCAUUUUCCAUAAGCUGAUGUAUUUCACCCUUAGUCAUUUAAACUAAACACAGAUGUUUUUAUAGGCCUGAUUGACGCUUCAGCCAUUGUGAUUUUGCUCUAGGUUCCAACGAAAUUCUAUAAACCUGUCAGAUUAAGUUUCUUAACUCUGAAAGAAUAUUGCAUGUUCCCGCUCCCCCUUUUCUGUUUUCUUUCCCCUCCCUCCUUUUCCCCAUUACUCCCUGCCUUCCUCCCUCUUUCUUUCAGCUGUAACAGCUGGAAACCAGUAACUUGAGCUUCCAAUAGAAUACAUUUACUUUCUAUUAAAU
rnacentral:lncRNA from 1 species